rnacentral:lncRNA from 1 species
CUGAAAACACACAUACCAUUAAUAUGUGAAGGUGUUGGGGAAAAAACGCACUCUUCUUUCUGGGAGGAAACUAGACUGCUUUAGAAAUCACUGCAGGAAUCACAGAGUAAAAUGGAGAAGAAACCAGGGAUGUGUCAUAACACAGUAGUCUGAAAAAGGGCCAGGUAGAAGAGUGGGAAGGACUAUGCCUCUGGCAAGUGCAAGUUCAUAAAUCCCAGUUUCUUCAAGUUACGAGGCACAUCUGCAUCCCCAGAUGAUGGCUACUGGUCAGAACACUGAACUCAUACCAAAAGCUGCUGUUGUUGACAGUUUAAUGUCUAUGGAUCUGACUCGGAGAGAAAUGUGCCACUUACUGAAUCACCAACACCAUAUCUUUGGUGUUGAGGUGGGGCACGCUUACUUUUUCAUCUGAAGAUUGACACAGCCCACCAAGAACAAUUUGAAAGAGACAGGAUUGCUGCUGAAAAGGCAUGACAUCAAGCCACACAAAUUGGAUGUUAAGACUAGAGAUUAACUUGUGAACUUGGCAGGAAUAGGUCGUAUGACGAGAGCUGAAACGUACAACUGGAUCUUGGUCAUGCCAUUCCUCAAAGGAGAUGAAGAAAUCCUGAAUUUUUAAUUUAUGCUUAAUAGCCAUGGCUUUGUCUCUACAGAGUGUUUGUGAUAUAUUUCUAAGCAUUGGUAAAUUAAUUCUUACUGCACCAACUUGGUGGAAAUCUGUU